rnacentral:sRNA from 1 species
AAGGAAAGCAUUGCGCAUGCGGGAAACCCACGCUGAGGGAAGAAUCAUGGGAAAGAGUAGAGACGGGGUUCCACCGUGUUAGCCAGGAUGGUCUCGAUCUCCUGACCUCGUCAUCCUCCCGCCUUGGCCUCCCAAAGUGCUGGGAUUACAGGCUUGAGCCACCGCGCCCCGCUCUUUCGUGUUCCAAAGGCUUUUUAAAUAAACUUCCACUCCUGUCCUGGAUUCUGCUUUAUGGCCCUCAGUCGAAUUCUUUCUUCUGAGGAGGCAAGGACUGAAGUUGCUUCUGACCAGUACAGGUACGCCGCAGGAGAAAACGAAUACAGCAGGGAUGACUUCCACCAGCUCCACUUUGCAGCUCUGAGGUGUAUUAAAAAUAAACCUAGAGCCCCACCAAAUGAAUCCGCUGGCACGUGGACCUCAGAUGGGGGAAACUGAGGACUGAAUUCUGACCACCCUCCUUUGUUCUAAAUUUCUUCCUGAAGGACCUGGAAGAAGUCAUGCCACGGGCCAGACCUUAACAUUCCUUUCGGCUUACCCCAGGAUUUCAGACGAAGCUUCACUUUCCUAACCAGUCACAAAUCAGAGAAUUUUUGAUUCCACCUAUGACCUGUGAGCUCCUGCUUCAAGAUAUUCCACCUUUUUUAGGCCAAACCAAUGUAUAACCUCCAAGUGUCGAUUUACACUUUCGACUGUAACUUCUGCUUUCCUGAGAUUUACCCCUGCCUUUAAAAACCCUUGCUUGUAAUCCCUCAGGGAGGCCGUGUAUUUAUUAAUCAUGAGCUGCCCAAUUCUCCUUGCUUGGUGCCCUGCAAAUAAACACCCUCUUUUCUCCCACUGCAAAACCUCAGUGUGGAUGUUUGGCUUUACUUCACCCCCAGGAAAGCAGACCCAGGUUUGACUCAGCAACAACAUCUGUUUCUAUUUUUCUCUGUAUAAAUAUUAAAAACCAUAAGUACAUGCUAUCUCCAAUUCCAAUAUAAACCCAUAGGGCUCAUUCUGGCCUUCCCAUUUUCUUAUGUGUAAUUCAUUUCUCUGAAAAUGAGAAUUCGAGUACUCAGAUAUUUACUUACCUACUCAAUCCUAGAAUAGAAAUAAAAUAAUUCAACAUAA